rnacentral:lncRNA from 1 species
CUCAAAUGUGCUAAUGUUGGAUUCUUUUGCCUUAUACCUCGUUCAUAUUGCUGUGGUUGUUAAUGGGUAUUUUUUAUCGUGUGCUUGUCUGGGGAAUUUGGCCACUUUAGUAUAUGCAAUGCAAUGCAACCUGUGUUGGUCAUACUUGCUUCUAUGAUGAUGUGAUUGGGAAAAUUUAGUUAUGAUUCUUUUUGGUCAUGACAAUUCUGAUUGGCUUUUGGGUUUUGAGACCAUCUUUGGAGCAUUUACUUGCUGUCUGUGGCAUGGAUUAGGAAAAGAUGGGGAGGGUAUUUUAGGAAAUCAAUUCAAUUGUGUGCAAGUGUGUGUGGAUUUGCAAAUUAUUUAGGGAAUGUUUUUUUCCAUGUAAAAUAGCUAUAGUAAUUUCCACUUUGUUAAACUUUAUUUUGUCUGCGUUCACUUCUACGUUGCUUUUCUUUUCUCUUACUUUAUUCUUCUGUAUUUUACUACCAAAUCAGUCUUUUAUUCUCACAUAUCAAUUAUAUAAUAUAAUUCUGAUACAGACCAACACAGAAAAUAAGAGAAAGGAGGUAAACGUGGUAUAUUAUUGAUACUGAAAAAGGGAAAAUACAAUAGGAGGCUACUGUCCAGAGCUAUGCUCCUAUAGAGAAUUAGCAUUCUCCAUUCUGCAAAACUGCAAUAUUCUUUUCUCCCCCCAUUCUCAUGCUAGGCUGUGCCUAUAAGGGUACACGCCUCACACACCCACAAACCCGUAACUAACUAUCACCCAACCUUUUCUUUCUCUCUCUCUCUGCCACCUCAUCAUGCUCUGUUAGCCUUUUCAAUUCUGUUUCUCCUAGUGUACACACGCCAUAUUCUAGGCCUAUGUAAACCUGGAUCAGCUUGAACAUUCUUUUGGGCCCAUGAAUCAUUUUGGGUUCUAUCAAAUUCUCUAUCAUAUGCAAACAGAAUGAGGUUUGGAGAGGUAUGUGGGCAUCUAAAAUAAGGUGUAUUUGGGAACAAAGAAACUGUGUUGUCUUUAAGCAAGGUGUAGCUGAUUCAGAGAAAAUCUUUCAUUUGGCACAACUUAUAAUGUGGUUAUGGGUGAAACAUAGCGUGCAAUCAUUCAACUAUUCUUUUUUGGAUUGGGUGUUAAAUCCUAUUCUUUGUAUCAAACGGUGUGGAUGUGGACGUCUGGAAGCUAGGGGUCUAAUGCUAGGUGCACAAAGUUCAUUUGGAUGGAGCAUACCAUUUGCAUCUGGUAGUGCAAUUUGUGCAGCAUCCUGUGGCAAUGAGCUGCUGGUAGUGUUACUAGUUUUUGAUAAUGGUUGUUUCCAAGGUAGUGGUACUAGUUUUUGGGAAGAUCUUCAUAGCUAUGGUUUUUUACAAUUUAAAAUACACCUGGUGAAGUAAUAGAAGUGGUGUAAGGAGGCAGCUUGUAUAGGAAUUGAAUUGGUAUGUACAAGGACUAGUGCUCUUGAAGUUGUAGGAGGUAAAACAAAAUUGGGAAUGCUGGUUUGGUGUGGAUGACGGUUUGGGAUGGUAUGCAGGAGAUAAACCAGCAUCGUAUGAUAUGAUGACUAGGUGAGAUUGUUGGUUUGAUGUGGAAGCUGGUGUUGAAUGCUGGAUGCUGGUUUGUAGGUUAAAGGUGCUCUAAGGCCAAAAACUUCGUUUUACAAGCAAUGCUUAAGCCAAUGCAGGGGAAUUUAACAACUCCUAUGAAGCCCAACUAUACCAGAAGCAUACAAAGUAGAUGCAAGUGCAACCUAACUUUUUUGUUUGCUGAAUUUUAGCAAGAAGAAGAUGAUCAUGUUGGCAGUUAUGGCAGCAGUUUUUGAAGUCUAAAUUGUGUAACUAUACAGGUGAUUAAUGGCCAAAGGAACUGUUAGGAAAGAGAGAUGCAGAUUCGCUAGAAUAUGUGGCAUAAAUUAUAUGGGAACAUCAAAUAUGUUUUCAGCACUCACAAUCACAUAUUGAUGAGUCUAGUUUUCAGUCACCUUCAUGUUUCAUAAGUUGAUCAUCAUCAUCACAUGCCAUUACAACUUUAAUAUGUUUUCAUCGCAACCACAACAUCUUUUAGACACAUCAAAUAAUUUUGCGACAUAUACCACAACCAUCCACAUACAAUCCACUAUUUUGUUGGAAUCACGACUUAAGUACCCUUUUUUUUUAACUCAUUUUGAUAAAUCUAAAAUAAAAUCAUACCAUUUACUUCAAAAAAAAACGAUCCAACAUUGUAUACUAACAAAAAGGAAACACAACUUUAUUUUCCUUCUUCCAAGAUUUACAUGUCUUGAGUUGAAUAACUCUUACCAUCUUUUUUUAAUCAACAUAACAUUGUUUUCAUAAAUAUUACCAUUACCGUUUCCCCGGAACCAUCCACCAUUGGAUACCCCUCUUGCAUAUUUGGGGGUGGCACGAGGUACUGGUAUGGAAACACUAUCACUGUCUUCACUGUCAGACUGCCAAAACACUUUACCCUUCCGUUUAUGAUCGCAAUGAGGGCACAUGGUAGGCUUUCAAGUCCCAGUUUUAUAGACUUGAUCAAACAUAUAAAGUAAUGCAGAGACAGGAUACUGCUCAGGGCCCUCCACUGUUGUAUCAAUUUUUCCAUUGAAUAAUCUACACUUUGCCACCAGAGAAAGCCCAAUAUCUGUUCCAGUUGAUCUGUCAAAACUUGUUCCGCUGCUCUUGACAAAGUAGUGCGCCACAGUCACCACCGAGGACCCCACCUCCCUCUCUUUUUCUUUGACUCCUUAACAAGAAGACCGCUUCUGCCUCCACUCCCAUACAACUGAACUUCUGUAUCCACAACACCACCCCAUGCAUCAAAACUCUCGUUAUUCUUUGCCCAUGUUUUGAAAUCAGGUAUCAACAACCUGAAACUCUUCAUCCAAAUAUAAUUGGUCUCAUCGAACCCAAUAGAAUACCACGAAUAGAAAUCAAAAGAUAUACGGUCUUGGACGAAAAAUCGUAUUUCUUUGGCCUUGCUAUGUUGAUCAACACCAUAUCUUGUGAAGGAUACCUCACAAGUUUCCUUAUCUACUGUGUAUACCACCUUAAAGGUCUCCUUCACCGCAUCGUCUUUCUCAAAAUCUUUGGACAAGUCGAUGGAAGUGGAUGGUCCCAGCUGUAGAUGGCAGGGAAUUGGAGCAGAUCCAAUAUAAUUAUCGAGAACAACAUCAAGACUGCUUCCCAUCUUGUUAUUUUAUAGGAAAUAGAAUGGAAGGAAUGGAAUGGAUUAGUAGUUUAAGGGUUGAUACUUGAAUGGAAGGAUGUUCACAUGCCAAUGUUAUAUAUAGAGAUGCACACAUUACAUUACAGUAUAAUCUUUGCCCUAGUAAGCGUUAUUCUUACGCACAUUCAUUCUUUCAAUCACAGUCACUGUGGCAUCUAAUUCUCCAUCAUGCAUUACCUUUUACUGUUAAAUAUUCUCCAAUCUUCAACCUCUUUGAUUCUUCAUUCUUCCACUAAUUCAAUUCUUUUCUCAGUGCGGCUCACAACGGGUGUUUGUUUUUUAUGAACCUGUUACAGUUUCAAAACCAUUUUGUAGAUCACUUCAAUAUUUCUGCACAAAACAAUAACUAUGUAAAUGCUACAGCUAAUAGAUAAACAUGCCUCAUAAUUACAGUAAGGGAUGAACUUUUUUAAUAACCAUGAUUAUAUAUUUUAUUACUAGACUAUUAUUUAUGAACUUUAUUGUCUUUUUUUGUGGCUUGUGGCGUGCAGGUGGAGCUUGAACAGUACCCAACGGCACCCCGUAUUGCUUCUCGAAUGCUUUUCACCGUGUUCCCUCAUUCCCUAUAUUCACCAUCUUUUUUUAUUUCACUCUUACUCCUCAAAUGUGCUAAAGUUGGAUUCUUUUGACUUAUACCACGUUCAUAUUGCUGUGGUUGUUAAUGGGUAUUUUUUAUCGUGUGCUUGUCUGGGGAAUUUGGCCACUUUAGUAUAUGCAAUGCAAUGCAACCUGUGUUGGUCAUACUUGCUUCUAUGAUGAUGUGAUUGGGAACAUCUAGUUAUGAUUAUUUUUGGUCAUGACAAUUCUGAUUGGCUUUUGGGUUUUGAGACCAUCUUUGGAGCAUUUACUUGCUGUUCUGUGGCAUGGAUUAGGAAAAGAUGGGGAGGGUAUUUUAGGAAAUCAAUUCAAUUGUGUGCAAGUGUGUGUGGAUUUGCAAAUUAUUUAGGGAAUGUUUUUUUCC